GCACCACCAGCUAGGGACCAAGAGUUGAACUUUUCACACUCGGACCACUGUAGCAAUCCAACCACAUGAUCUAACAAUGACGUAGGUGUGUAGUGGGAAGGGGAUUCAUAAUCCAGAAUGGCCUCACAUCGUCCUCGGUUUGCCAGAUAUCCAGCUUUACUGUUCAAAAUGCCCAAUGUUUAAGAGCUGGUACUGCACACCAUGCUGACCCACUCCUGAUGGCGGACUCGAGAUUGUGGACUCCUAGGUCAAGUCCAGCCCACAGGAGUGCUCAGGUUUGACCACAGUAGGUUUAUAAAUGCCACAUUAACUUACAGUAGUUUUUUUUUUCAUUUUUCUUUAUUUGUAUGAGUGUUUUGUCUCAUAUGAGUGCAUAUAUAUGGGUACCACAUGGGUAAAAUGCCA
rnacentral:lncRNA from 1 species